UACGUAGGGGGCAAGCGUUGUCCGGAAUUACUGGGCGUAAAGCGCACGCAGGCGGUCUGUUAAGUCUGCUGUGAAAGCCCCGGGCUCAACCUGGGAAUGGCAGUGGAUACUGGCAAGCUAGAGUGGCGAUAGAGGGGUGUGGAAUUCCCGGUGUAGCGGUGAAAUGCGUAGAGAUCGGGAGGAACACCAGUGGCGAAGGCGGCGACCC
rnacentral:rRNA from 1 species